GACGAACGCUGGCGGCGUGCUUAACACAUGCAAGUCGAGCGGUAAGGCCCUUUCGGGGGUACACGAGCGGCGAACGGGUGAGUAACACGNGGGUGACCUGCCCUUAGCUCUGGGAUAAGCCUGGGAAACUGGGUCUAAUACCGGAUACGACUCCGCGGUGCAUGCUGUGGGGUGGAAAGCCUUGUGCGGCUGGAGAUGGGGCCCGCGGCCUAUCAGCUUGUUGGUGGGGUGAUGGCCUACCAAGGCGACGACGGGUAGCCGGCCUGAGAGGGCGACCGGCCACACUGGGACUGAGACACGGCCCAGACUCC
rnacentral:rRNA from 1 species